rnacentral:rRNA from 1 species
GAUGAACGCUGGCGGCGUGCUUAACACAUGCAAGUCGAACGGAAAGGCCCAAGCUUGCUUGGGUACUCGAGUGGCGAACGGGUGAGUAACACGUGGGUGAUCUGCCCUGCACUUCGGGAUAAGCCUGGGAAACUGGGUCUAAUACCGGAUAGGACCACAUUUUGGAUGGCGUGGUGGAAAGUUUUUCGGUGUGGGAUGAGCUCGCGGCCUAUCAGCUUGUUGGUGGGGUAAUGGCCUACCAAGGCGUCGACGGGUAGCCGGCCUGAGAGGGUGUACGGCCACAUUGGGACUGAGAUACGGCCCAGACUCCUACGGGAGGCAGCAGUGGGGAAUAUUGCACAAUGGGCGCAAGCCUGAUGCAGCGACGCCGCGUGGGGGAUGACGGCCUUCGGGUUGUAAACUCCUUUCGCUAGGGACGAAGCGCAAGUGACGGUACCUGGAGAAGAAGCACCGGCUAACUACGUG